rnacentral:rRNA from 1 species
AUUGAACGCUGGCGGAAUGCUUUACACAUGCAAGUCGAACGGUAGAGGGGGCAACCCCUCGAGAGUGGCGAACGGGUGAGUAAUAUAUCGGAACGUGCCCAGUCGUGGGGGAUAACGUAGCGAAAGUUACGCUAAUACCGCAUACGAUCUAAGGAUGAAAGCGGGGGAUUGCAAGACCUCGCGUGAUUGGAGCGGCCGAUAUCAGAUUAGGUAGUUGGUGGGGUAAAGGCUCACCAAGCCAACGAUCUGUAGCUGGUCUGAGAGGACGACCAGCCACACUGGAACUGAGACACGGUCCAGACUCCUACGGGAGGCAGCAGUGGGGAAUUUUGGACAAUGGACGCAAGUCUGAUCCAGCCAUUCCGCGUGCAGGAUGAAGGCCCUCGGGUUGUAAACUGCUUUUGUAAGGAACGAAAAGGUCUCUCUUAAUACGGGGGGCUCAUGACGGUACCGUAAGAAUAAGCACCGGCUAACUACGUGCCAGCCGCCGCAGUAA